GAUUUCAAUUGAAAAAGUCAUCAACAACAAAGUUGAAUAACUCAUCAAGAUCUAAAACUUUUAUUUUUGUUAUUUCUUCAUCCGACGAAAUGUUAGUAAUAUUAUUCACAAAUUUUACAUAUAUGUGUUAUAGUUUAUAAAACCAGAUAAGAGAUAUGUCAAUUUUGUAAACAAUGUUACUAUCACUUUGUCGUAUGAAGAAAUGACCAAAAUAAAAGUUUUAGAUCUUGAUGAGUUAUUCAACUUUGUUGUUGAUGACUUUUUUAGUUGAUAUC
rnacentral:pre_miRNA from 1 species